rnacentral:rRNA from 1 species
UUAAGCGACUAAGCGUACACGGUGGAUGCCCUGGCAGUCAGAGGCGAUGAAGGGCGUGCUAAUCUGCGAUAAGCGCCGGUAAGGUGAUAUGAACCGUUAUAACCGGCGAUACCCGAAUGGGGAAACCCAGUGUGACUCGUCACACUAUCAUUAACUGAAUCCAUAGGUUAAUGAGGCGAACCGGGGGAACUGAAACAUCUAAGUACCCCGAGGAAAAGAAAUCAACCGAGAUUCCCCCAGUAGCGGCGAGCGAACGGGGAGGAGCCCAGAGCCUGAAUCAGCAUGUGUGUUAGUGGAAGCGUCUGGAAAGGCGCGCGAUACAGGGUGACAGCCCCGUACACAAAAGCGCAUGUGCUGUGAGCUCGAUGAGUAGGGCGGGACACGUGGUAUCCUGUCUGAAUAUGGGGGGACCAUCCUCCAAGGCUAAAUACUCCUGACUGACCGAUAGUGAACCAGUACCGUGAGGGAAAGGCGAAAAGAACCCCGGCGAGGGGAGUGAAAAAGAACCUGAAACCGUGUACGUACAAGCAGUGGGAGCACAGGUUUACCUGUGUGACUGCGUACCUUUUGUAUAAUGGGUCAGCGACUUAUAUUCUGUAGCAAGGUUAACCGAAUAGGGGAGCCGGAGGGAAACCGAGUCUUAAUUGGGCGUUAAGUUGCAGGGUAUAGACCCGAAACCCGGUGAUCUAGCCAUGGGCAGGUUGAAGGUUGGGUAACACUAACUGGAGGACCGAACCGACUAAUGUUGAAAAAUUAGCGGAUGACCUGUGGCUGGGGGUGAAAGGCCAAUCAAACCGGGAGAUAGCUGGUUCUCCCCGAAAGCUAUUUAGGUAGCGCCUCGUGAAUUCAUCUCCGGGGGUAGAGCACUGUUUCGGCUAGGGGGCCAUCCCGGCUUACCAACCCGAUGCAAACUGCGAAUACCGGAGAAUGUUAUCACGGGAGACACACGGCGGGUGCUAACGUCCGUCGUGAAGAGGGAAACAACCCAGACCGCCAGCUAAGGUCCCAAAGUCAUGGUUAAGUGGGAAACGAUGUGGGAAGGCCCAGACAGCCAGGAUGUUGGCUUAGAAGCAGCCAUCAUUUAAAGAAAGCGUAAUAGCUCACUGGUCGAGUCGGCCUGCGCGGAAGAUGUAACGGGGCUAAACCAUGCACCGAAGCUGCGGCAGCGAACGUAUCACCCAAGACAACUUUACGGAGUUGACGAUUGACGGAGCGAAGCGACGUCAAAGCGUUCAUUAAAGUCGAGUUGGCUUAGGGAUACGUUCGUUGGGUAGGGGAGCGUUCUGUAAGCCUGUGAAGGUGUGUCGUGAGGCAUGCUGGAGGUAUCAGAAGUGCGAAUGCUGACAUAAGUAACGAUAAAGCGGGUGAAAAGCCCGCUCGCCGGAAGACCAAGGGUUCCUGUCCAACGUUAAUCGGGGCAGGGUGAGUCGACCCCUAAGGCGAGGCCGAAAGGCGUAGUCGAUGGGAAACGGGUUAAUAUUCCCGUACUUGGUGUUACUGCGAAGGGGGGACGGAGAAGGCUAUGUUGGCCGGGCGACGGUUGUCCCGGUUUAAGCGUGUAGGUGUGUGUUCCAGGUAAAUCCGGUUCACUUUAACACUGAGGCGUGAUGACGAGGCACUACGGUGCUGAAGCAACAAAUGCCCUGCUUCCAGGAAAAGCCUCUAAGCAUCAGGUAACAUCAAAUCGUACCCCAAACCGACACAGGUGGUCAGGUAGAGAAUACCAAGGCGCUUGAGAGAACUCGGGUGAAGGAACUAGGCAAAAUGGUGCCGUAACUUCGGGAGAAGGCACGCUGACACGUAGGUGAAGUGAUUUACUCACGGAGCUGAAGUCAGUCGAAGAUACCAGCUGGCUGCAACUGUUUAUUAAAAACACAGCACUGUGCAAACACGAAAGUGGACGUAUACGGUGUGACGCCUGCCCGGUGCCGGAAGGUUAAUUGAUGGGGUCAGCGCAAGCGAAGCUCCUGAUCGAAGCCCCGGUAAACGGCGGCCGUAACUAUAACGGUCCUAAGGUAGCGAAAUUCCUUGUCGGGUAAGUUCCGACCUGCACGAAUGGCGUAAUGAUGGCCAGGCUGUCUCCACCCGAGACUCAGUGAAAUUGAACUCGCUGUGAAGAUGCAGUGUACCCGCGGCAAGACGGAAAGACCCCGUGAACCUUUACUAUAGCUUGACACUGAACAUUGAGCCUUGAUGUGUAGGAUAGGUGGGAGGCUUUGAAGUGUGGACGCCAGUCUGCAUGGAGCCGACCUUGAAAUACCACCCUUUAAUGUUUGAUGUUCUAACGUGGACCCGUAAUCCGGGUUGCGGACAGUGUCUGGUGGGUAGUUUGACUGGGGCGGUCUCCUCCUAAAGAGUAACGGAGGAGCACGAAGGUUGGCUAAUCCUGGUCGGACAUCAGGAGGUUAGUGCAAUGGCAUAAGCCAGCUUGACUGCGAGCGUGACGGCGCGAGCAGGUGCGAAAGCAGGUCAUAGUGAUCCGGUGGUUCUGAAUGGAAGGGCCAUCGCUCAACGGAUAAAAGGUACUCCGGGGAUAACAGGCUGAUACCGCCCAAGAGUUCAUAUCGACGGCGGUGUUUGGCACCUCGAUGUCGGCUCAUCACAUCCUGGGGCUGAAGUAGGUCCCAAGGGUAUGGCUGUUCGCCAUUUAAAGUGGUACGCGAGCUGGGUUUAGAACGUCGUGAGACAGUUCGGUCCCUAUCUGCCGUGGGCGCUGGAGAACUGAGGGGGGCUGCUCCUAGUACGAGAGGACCGGAGUGGACGCAUCACUGGUGUUCGGGUUGUCAUGCCAAUGGCACUGCCCGGUAGCUAAAUGCGGAAGAGAUAAGUGCUGAAAGCAUCUAAGCACGAAACUUGCCCCGAGAUGAGUUCUCCCUGAGACUUAGAGUCUCCUGAAGGAACGUUGAAGACGACGACGUUGAUAGGCCGGGUGUGUAAGCGCAGCGAUGCGUUGAGCUAACCGGUACUAAUGAACCGUGAGGCUUAACCUU